GGACAACAAAUCAUUAACCUUCCAACCCCCGUGCUGGAAAGUCAAAUAGAAGUUAAACCCAAGACCGAUUAAGACAUUAAGUGCACGGAAAGUGGGGUGAGCUGAGUUUGCUUCUAGCACGUGUAUAAUUUGACGAAAUGGAAACGCGAGGGAGUGAAUCGUGGAAAAUCAUAAGGACCGCGAUCGUUUGUCGCGCGUGCUGAAGUUUCCAGAAUGCGGCAGGCACUACACUUCCGCUAAAUGUCGCUAUUAUUUAACAAUUUUGUUUAUAUAUGCCUUUCAUGCAGCGCACCAGAAGCCCCAGAAGCACCAGAAGGCAGCCAGCCCCAUCGCAAUGUGGAGUAUAAUUUAUGGUUACUCUGAUUCCCCCAGCGCCGUUGGGCAAACUAAAUUGUCGCCCUCGUCAGCGGCAGCUGGAAAAAAAAAUAUGAAAGAAAACAAUUACACCUGACUUAACACUUCCGUUACUUGUUACAAAAGUCGCACACGUUCCCACAGCUCACCUGGUGGCCACCCACCUGGCUAUCCACCUGUCCAGCCGAACAGGUCCAGCAGACAGAGGUAGCUGCGUGGGCGACGGCAACGCACUUUCCUUCGAGCACUUCAAAUUGUAAUUUAGCACGUACAAGGAGCAUGAUUUUCUGAGGGGCUGGGUGGAAGUUGCAUGACCUGCUUUAACAACCCCUCAUUUUAGUGCGUUUCC
ensembl:ncRNA lncRNA:CR45577 long non-coding RNA:CR45577